rfam:Ectocarpus siliculosus strain Ec 32, whole genome shotgun sequence assembly, chromosome LG28
GGGGAUAUAGCUCAGUUGGCUAGAGCGUUUGUCUCAUAAGCAGAAGGUCGAGAGUUCGAGCCUCUCUAUCCCCG